rnacentral:rRNA from 1 species
AUUGAACGCUGGCGGCAGGCCUAACACAUGCAAGUCGAGCGGAUGAAGGGAGCUUGCUCCUGGAUUCAGCGGCGGACGGGUGAGUAAUGCCUAGGAAUCUGCCUGGUAGUGGGGGAUAACGUCCGGAAACGGGCGCUAAUACCGCAUACGUCCUGAGGGAGAAAGUGGGGGAUCUUCGGACCUCACGCUAUCAGAUGAGCCUAGGUCGGAUUAGCUAGUUGGUGGGGUAAAGGCCUACCAAGGCGACGAUCCGUAACUGGUCUGAGAGGAUGAUCAGUCACACUGGAACUGAGACACGGUCCAGACUCCUACGGGAGGCAGCAGUGGGGAAUAUUGGACAAUGGGCGAAAGCCUGAUCCAGCCAUGCCGCGUGUGUGAAGAAGGCCUUCGGAUUGUAAAGCACUUUAAGUUGGGACGAAGGGCAGUAAGUUAAUACCUUGCUGUUUUGACGUUACCAACAGAAUAAGCACCGGCUAACUUCGUG